UACGUAGGGGGCGAGCGUUGUCCGGAUUUAUUGGGCGUAAAGAGCGUGUAGGCGGCCAGGUAGGUCUGCUGUGAAAACUCGAGGCUCAACCUCGAGACGUCGGCGGAAAACCAUCUGGCUAGAGUCGGAAGAGGAGAGUGGAAUUCCUGGUGUAGCGGUGAAAUGCGCAGAUAUCAGGAAGAACACCCGUGGCGAAGGCGGCUCUCUGGGACGGUACUGACGCUGAGGAGCGAAAGUGUGGGGGAGCGAAACAGG
rnacentral:rRNA from 1 species